AAAUUGAAGAGUUUGAUCAUGGCUCAGAUUGAACGCUGGCGGCAGGCCUAACACAUGCAAGUCGAACGGUAACAGGAAGCAGCUUGCUGCUUUGCUGACGAGUGGCGGACGGGUGAGUAAUGUCUGGGAAACUGCCUGAUGGAGGGGGAUAACUACUGGAAACGGUAGCUAAUACCGCAUAACGUCGCAAGACCAAAGAGGGGGACCUUCGGGCCUCUUGCCAUCAGAUGUGCCCAGAUGGGAUUAGCUUGUUGGUGGGGUAACGGCUCACCAAGGCGACGAUCCCUAGCUGGUCUGAGAGGAUGACCAGCCACACUGGAACUGAGACACGGUCCAGACUCCUACGGGAGGCAGCAGUGGGGAAUAUUGCACAAUGGGCGCAAGCCUGAUGCAGCCAUGCCGCGUGUAUGAAGAAGGCCUUCGGGUUGUAAAGUACUUUCAGCGGGGAGGAAGGUGCUGUGGUUAAUAACCGCAGCAAUUGACGUUACCCGCAGAAGAAGCACCGGCUAACUCCGUGCCAGCAGCCGCGGUAAUACGGAGGGUGCAAGCGUUAAUCGGAAUUACUGGGCGUAAAGCGCACGCAGGCGGUCUGUUAAGUCAGAUGUGAAAUCCCCGGGCUCAACCUGGGAACUGCAUCUGAUACUGGCAGGCUUGAGUCUCGUAGAGGGGGGUAGAAUUCCAGGUGUAGCGGUGAAAUGCGUAGAGAUCUGGAGGAAUACCGGUGGCGAAGGCGGCCCCCUGGACGAAGACUGACGCUCAGGUGCGAAAGCGUGGGGAGCAAACAGGAUUAGAUACCCUGGUAGUCCACGCCGUAAACGAUGUCGACUUGGAGGUUGUGCCCUUGAGGCGUGGCUUCCGGAGCUAACGCGUUAAGUCGACCGCCUGGGGAGUACGGCCGCAAGGUUAAAACUCAAAUGAAUUGACGGGGGCCCGCACAAGCGGUGGAGCAUGUGGUUUAAUUCGAUGCAACGCGAAGAACCUUACCUGGUCUUGACAUCCACGGAAGUUUUCAGAGAUGAGAAUGUGCCUUCGGGAACCGUGAGACAGGUGCUGCAUGGCUGUCGUCAGCUCGUGUUGUGAAAUGUUGGGUUAAGUCCCGCAACGAGCGCAACCCUUAUCCUUUGUUGCCAGCGGU
rnacentral:rRNA from 1 species